rnacentral:rRNA from 1 species
UACGUAGGGGGGCAAGCGUUGUCCGGAUUUAUUGGGCGUAAAGCGCGCGUAGGCGGCUUUGUAAGUUAGAGGUGAAAGCCCGGAGCUUAACUCCGGAACUGCCUUUAAGACUGCAUCGCUAGAAUCGUGGAGAGGUGAGUGGAAUUCCGAGUGUAGAGGUGAAAUUCGUAGAUAUUCGGAGGAACACCGGUGGCGAAGGCGGCUUCCUGGACCGAUCACUGACGCUGAGGCGCGAAAGCUAGGGGAGCAAACGGG